AUUGAACGCUGGCGGCAGGCUUAACACAUGCAAGUCGAGCGGAGUGAUGGUGCUUGCACUAUCACUUAGCGGCGGACGGGUGAGUAAUGCUUAGGAAUCUGCCUAUUAGUGGGGGACAACAUCUCGAAAGGGAUGCUAAUACCGCAUACGUCCUACGGGAGAAAGCAGGGGAUCACUUGUGACCUUGCGCUAAUAGAUGAGCCUAAGUCGGAUUAGCUAGUUGGUGGGGUAAAGGCCUACCAAGGCGACGAUCUGUAGCGGGUCUGAGAGGAUGAGCCGCCACACUGGGACUGAGACACGGCCCAGACUCCUACGGGAGGCAGCAGUGGGGAAUAUUGGACAAUGGGGGGAACCCUGAUCCAGCCAUGCCGCGUGCGUGAAGAAGGCCUUAUGGUUGUAAAGCACUUUAAGCGAGGAGGAGGCUCUUUUGGUUAAUACCCAAGAUGAGUGGACGUUACUCGCAGAAUAAGCACCGGCUAACUCUGUGCCAGCCGCCGCGGUAAAAC
rnacentral:rRNA from 1 species